UGAAUAUUUUUUUAGUUGAUACUUUAUUCUCUUAACUUUGACUCUUAGCCCUUAAUCUUGUCCUAAAUCCAUGAAAUACUCUUUCUAUAUAUCAAGAAUCAAAUCUUUGAUUAUUAACAAUUUACCUAAGAUAAUAUUUUUUGUAAGAUAAUUUAUUCUAUUUUAAUUUUUAUUUAUUUAUUUUAACACUCCAACUUUGCUAUUAAUGAAAG
rnacentral:lncRNA from 1 species